UACGUAGGGGGCAAGCGUUGUCCGGAAUCAUUGGGCGUAAAGCGCGUGUAGGCGGCCAGGUAAGUCCGUUCUGAAAGCCCGGGGCUCAACCCCGGGAGGCGGAUGGAUACUGCUUGGCUCGAGUCCGGAAGAGGCGAGUGGAAUUCCCGGUGUAGCGGUGAAAUGCGCAGAUAUCGGGAGGAACACCAAUGGCGAAGGCAGCUCACUGGGACGGUAUUGACGCUGAGACGCGAAAGCGUGGGGAGCAAACAGG
rnacentral:rRNA from 1 species